rnacentral:rRNA from 1 species
GAUGAACGCUGGCGGCGUGCCUAAUACAUGCAAGUCGAGCGAACGGACGAGAAGCUUGCUUCUCUGAUGUUAGCGGCGGACGGGUGAGUAACACGUGGAUAACCUACUUAUAAGACUGGGAUAACUUCGGGAAACCGGAGCUAAUACCGGAUGAUAUUUUGAACCGCAUGGUUCAAAAGUGAAAGACGGUCUUGCUGUCACUUAUAGAUGGAUCCGCGCUGCAUUAGCUAGUUGGUAAGGUAACGGCUUACCAAGGCAACGAUGCAUAGCCGACCUGAGAGGGUGAUCGGCCACACUGGAACUGAGACACGGUCCAGACUCCUACGGGAGGCAGCAGUAGGGAAUCUUCCGCAAUGGGCGAAAGCCUGACGGAGCAACGCCGCGUGAGUGAUGAAGGUCUUCGGAUCGUAAAACUCUGUUAUUAGGGAAGAACAUAUGUGUAAGUAACUGUGCACAUCUUGACGGUACCUAAUCAGAAAGCCACGGCUAACUACGUG